UAGAAUCGAUUGCCAAUGAGGUGCAGACGGCUGAUUGGAAACCAACGUUUUGUCACUUCACUCAACUUGGCCUUUGGUUUUGCCACCCCCACAGCUCCAGUUGUAUUUCCACUGUCCCCCUGUUGCCAAGAUCUCUCAACUGCCUCUGAAGUGAACCUUGGAUGUUUGGUCACUGGCUACUAUCCUGAGCCGGUCACAGUGCAGUGGAAUUCAGGAGCCAUCUCCACUGGCAUCCGGACCUUCCCAGCAGUACUGCAUUCCUCCAGCGGCCAUUACACUCUCAGCAGCCAGCUCACCGUCCCAGUCUCCAGCUGGAAUACCGAGAAUUUCCAAUGCAAGGUCGUACAUGCACCAACCAGCUCCUCAGUUGACCAAACGAUUGAACGCUGUGUGACACAUAGUCCAGUGCCCCCAGAUGUCCGCAUACUUCAUUCCUCCUGCGGCCCCAGCUCCUCUGAUGCCACCAUUGAAUUGGCUUGCAUUGUAUCAAGUUUCUACCCAAAAGAAGUGACUGUGGAAUGGCUGAUAGGUGGAAAGUCUGGGUUGCUCCCCUCAUACACUGAGCCUCCCAGGCAAGAUGCAGUUGGGUACACCUUCAGUACCACCAGCAGUGCCAAUAUUAGCCAAGCAGACUGGCUGGAAGGAACCAUCUACACCUGCAAGGUGACACAUCCCGGAAGCCAAACCACCACGAGAAGCCGAGCCAAAAAAUGCGAAGAUGACAGUACCGGUCAAUGUGAUGGCAUUUAUGUUUACCUCAAAUCCCCGACACCAAAUGACCUAUACCUAAACAGAGAUCCCAAGGUUUCCUGCGUGGUAGGUAAUCUGGAAAGUGAAGAAGGGCUGAAGGUGACUUGGUCACGAGAAAAGCAGGUAUCCCUGGACCCUGAACCUAUGUCUGCAUCAGAAGAACUUAAUGGCACCUACACUGUGGUCAGUACUGUGCCCAUCCUUACCAGAGACUGGGACUCAGAAGAGACAUUCACCUGCACCGUGGAAUAUCCAGGCGUGCCCACUCCCAUUGUUAAGAAAAUUUUCAAGCGUAAAGGCAAGGUCACAACACCCAGUGUGUACCUCUUCCGCCCUCACCGUGAAGAGGUGAACUUUCAGCAACAUUCAAAGCUGACCCUCACUUGCCUGAUCAAAAAUUUGAACCCGAAGGAUGUCUCUGUCAUGUGGCUGAAGAAUAACAACGCUCUGACUGAAGACAACCACACCACAACCCCAGUCUUGAAGGACAGCAUUGAGGAUAGCUAUUUUGCCUACAGCAAACUGUCGAUCUCCAGAGCUGAUUGGGACCAAGGCAGUUCCUUCACCUGCAUGGUUAUCCACGAAGGCCUUGCCAUGAAGUUCACCCAGAGGACCGUUGAGAAAUCCCAGGGUAAAAAGUGAAGACCAUCUCUAUCCUGUACCACAGUCCUCUUCGCCCUAUCCCAGAUUAUGAAACAGAUUAUAACCGUUUUGACAGAGAAUGGUUACAGUGAUGAGAACGAGGAAGAGCUGAAGCAUUUGUGGAUGACCAUCUUCAUUUUCUUCAUUCUCUUCCUUCUCAGCGUGUGCUAUAGUGCGACGGUGACCCUAUUCAAAGUGAAAUGGCUUUUUUCCAGCAUGGUGAACAUGAAGAGGCAACCAACUGGCCCCGAUUAUAAGAAUGUACUCCAGCGUAGAGAUGAAGCCUGUCAACUCAAGAUCUUCUAUGAGGAAGGCAAUGCAGCUAGAAUCUGGAACAGGAUUUCUGAUCUUACGUUCUUAAUUUGA